ACGAAGGUGUACUCAUUAUUGGUUCUGGAAGUGCCACUCACAAUCUCAGGGCUCUCCAAUUUGAUGGUGACUCUGUUGCUUCAUGGGCUUCGGAGUUUGAUAACUGGCUUAAAGAUGCCCUCCUUCAAGGAAGGUAAGUGUAAUAAAUUAAUUAUAUAUACAUACAGAGAUGGCAUUACAGCGAUAAAAGUUAAUUUUUUUAAUUUAUGUAACUGUUUGCUGUAUUUAAUUUGUUGUUACAUACAGAUAUGAGGAUGUGAAUCACUAUGAACAGAAGGCACCGUGCCCAAAGAAGGCUCAUCCUUGGCCCGACCACUUUUACCCACUGCAUGUAGCUAUGGGUGCUGCCGGCG
rnacentral:lncRNA from 1 species